GCUGUGAUGGCCAAGUGGUUAAGGUGUUAGACUUAAAAUCCAAUAAGGUUCCUCUCCGCAGGUUCGAAUCCUGCUCACAGUG